rnacentral:rRNA from 1 species
AGCAUAUCAAUAAGCGGAGGAAAAGAAACCAACAGGGAUUCCCUUAGUAACGGCGAGUGAAGCGGGAAUAGCUCAAAUUUGAAAUCUGGCUCUUUCAGAGUCCGAGUUGUAAUUUGCAGAGGGCGCUUUGGCUUUGGCAGCGGUCCAAGUUCCUUGGAACAGGACGUCACAGAGGGUGAGAAUCCCGUACGUGGUCGCUAGCUAUUGCCGUGUAAAGCCCCUUCGACGAGUCGAGUUGUUUGGGAAUGCAGCUCUAAAUGGGAGGUAAAUUUCUUCUAAAGCUAAAUAUUGGCCAGAGACCGAUAGCGCACAAGUAGAGUGAUCGAAAGAUGAAAAGCACUUUGGAAAGAGAGUCAAACAGCACGUGAAAUUGUUGAAAGGGAAGCGCUUGCAGCCAGACUUGCUUGCAGUUGCUCAUCCGGGCUUUUGCCCGGUGCACUCUUCUGCAGGCAGGCCAGCAUCAGUUUGGGCGGUGGGAUAAAGGUCUCUGUCACGUACCUUCCUUCGGGUUGGCCAUAUAGGGGAGACGUCAUACCACCAGCCUGGACUGAGGUCCGCGCAUCUGCUAGGAUGCUGGCGUAAUGGCUGUAAGCGGCCCGUCUUGAA